rnacentral:rRNA from 1 species
GACGAACGCUGGCGGCGUGCCUAAUACAUGCAAGUAGAACGCUGAAGGAGGAGCUUGCUUCUCUGGAUGAGUUGCGAACGGGUGAGUAACGCGUAGGUAACCUGCCUGGUAGCGGGGGAUAACUAUUGGAAACGAUAGCUAAUACCGCAUAAUAGUAGAUGUUGCAUGACAUUUGCUUAAAAGGUGCAAUUGCAUCACUACCAGAUGGACCUGCGUUGUAUUAGCUAGUUGGUGAGGUAACGGCUCACCAAGGCGACGAUACAUAGCCGACCUGAGAGGGUGAUCGGCCACACUGGGACUGAGACACGGCCCAGACUCCUACGGGAGGCAGCAGUAGGGAAUCUUCGGCAAUGGACGGAAGUCUGACCGAGCAACGCCGCGUGAGUGAAGAAGGGUUUCGGAUCGUAAAGCUCUGUUGUAAGAGAAGAACGAGUGUGAGAGUGGAAAGUUCACACUGUGACGGUAGCUUACCAGAAAGGGACGGCUAACUACGUG